rnacentral:rRNA from 1 species
UACGGAGGGGGCUAGCGUUGUUCGGAAUUACUGGGCGUAAAGGGCGCGUAGGCGGCCUGUUAAGUCGAACGUGAAAUCCCCGGGCUCAACCCGGGAACUGCGUCCGAUACUGGCAGGCUUGAAUCCGGGAGAGGGAUGCGGAAUUCCAGGUGUAGCGGAUGAAUGCGUAGAUAUCUGGAGGAACACCGGUGGCGAAGGCGGCAUCCGUGGACCGGCAUUGACGCCUGAGGCGCGGAAAGCCAGGGGGAGCAAA